GAUGAACGCUGGCGGCGUGCCUAAUACAUGCAAGUCGAACGCUGAAGGAGGAGCUUGCUCUUUCCGGAUGAGUUGCGAACGGGUGAGUAACGCGUAGGUAACCUGCCUGGUAGCGGGGGAUAACUAUUGGAAACGAUAGCUAAUACCGCAUAACAGUAGAUAUUGCAUGAUAUUUGCUUGAAAGGGGCAAUUGCUCCACUACCAGAUGGACCUGCGUUGUAUUAGCUAGUUGGUGAGGUAACGGCUCACCAAGGCGACGAUACAUAGCCGACCUGAGAGGGUGAUAGGCCACACUGGGACUGAGACACGGCCCAGACUCCUACGGGAGGCAGCAGUAGGGAAUCUUCGGCAAUGGACGGAAGUCUGACCGAGCAACGCCGCGUGAGUGAAGAAGGUUGUCGGAUCGUAAAGCUCUGUUGUAAGAGAAGAACGAGUGUGAGAGUGGAAAGUUCACACUGUGACGGUAUCUUACCAGAAAGGGACGGCUAACUACGUG
rnacentral:rRNA from 1 species